AUCCAGCUGACGAGUCCCAAAUAAGACGAAACGCGAGCCUUGGAU
rfam:Schistosoma rodhaini strain Burundi genome assembly, scaffold: SROB_scaffold0022308